rnacentral:rRNA from 1 species
AGAAUCAACGCUGGCGGCGUGCCUAACACAUGCAAGUCGAACGCGAAAGGGACUUCGGUCCUGAGUAGAGUGGCGAACGGGUGAGUAACGCGUGGGUGACCUACCCUCGAGUGGGGGAUAACGUUCCGAAAGGGACGCUAAUACCGCAUGACAUUCCGGGUUUGAAGACCUGGAAAUCAAAGCCGGGGACCGCAAGGCCUGGCGCUAGAGGAGGGGCCCGCGUCUGAUUAGCUAGUUGGCGGGUAACGCCCACAAGGCGACGAUCA